GCGAGUCAUUGUAGCAUACAAGGCAGACGGCUCAGUAACGCGUAGUCAAUCUACCCUAUGGACGGGAAUAACCUCGGGAAACUGAGAAUAAUUCCCGAUAGAACAUUAUGCCUGGAAUGGUUUAUGUUUCAAAUGAUUUAUCGCCAUAGGAUGGGACUGCGGCCUAUCAGUUUGUUGGUGAGGUAAUGGCCCACCAAGACUAUUACAGGUACGGGCUCUGAGAGGAGUAGCCCGGAGAUGGGUACUGAGACACGGACCCAGGCCCUAUGGGGCGCAGCAGGCGAGAAAACUUUGCAAUGUGCGAAAGCACGACAAGGUUAAUCCGAGUGGUUUCUGCUAAAGAAACCUUUUGUCAGUCCUAGAAACACUAACGAAUAAGGGGUGGGCAAGUUCUGGUGUCAGCCGCCGCGGUAAAACCAGCACCUCAAGUGGUCAGGAUGAUUAUUGGGCCUAAAGCAUCCGUAGCUCGUUUUGUAAGUUUUCGGUUAAAUCCAUGCGCUUAACGUAUGGGCUGCCGGGAAUACUGCAUAACUAGGAAGUGGGAGAGGUAGACGGUACUCGGUAGGAAGGGGUAAAAUCCUUUGAUCUAUUGAUGACCACCUGUGGCGAAGGCGGUCUACCAGAACACGUUCGACGGUGAGGGAUGAAAGCUGGGGGAGCAAACCGGAUUAGAUACCCGGGUAGUCCCAGCUGUAAACUAUGCAAACUCAGUGAUGCAUUGGCUUGUGGCCAA
rnacentral:rRNA from 1 species